rnacentral:rRNA from 1 species
UACAACCGCCCUCCCCCUGGCUAACAGUACUCUUUAAGUUUGACCUCAAAUCAGGUAGGAAUACCCGCUGAACUUAAGCAUAUCAAUAAGCGGAGGAAAAGAAACCAACCGGGAUUGCCUCAGUAACGGCGAGUGAAGCGGCAAAAGCUCAAAUUUGAAAUCUGGUACCUUCGGUGCCCGAGUUGUAAUUUGUAGAGGGCGACUUUGGGGCGGCUCCUUGUCUAUGUUCCUUGGAACAGGACGUCAUAGAGGGUGAGAAUCCCGUGUGGCGAGGAGUGCGGUUCCGUGUAAAGCGCUCUCGAAGAGUCGAGUUGUUUGGGAAUGCAGCUCUAAGUGGGUGGUAAAUUCCAUCUAAAGCUAAAUAUUGGCGAGAGACCGAUAGCGAACAAGUACAGUGAUGGAAAGAUGAAAAGAACUUUGAAAAGAGAGUGAAAAAGUACGUGAAAUUGUUGAAAGGGAAGGGCAUUUGAUCAGACAUGGUGUUUUGCGCCCCCCGCUCCUUGUGGGUGGGGGACUCUCGCAGCUCACUGGGCCAGCAUCAGUUUUGGCGGCCGGACAAAACUGCAGGAACGUAGCUUGCUUCGGGAAGUGUUACAGCCUGCAGGAAUACGGCCAGCCGGGACUGAGGAAUGCGAUUCGUCAAGGAUGCUGGCAUAAUGGUUAUAUGCCGCCCGUCUUGAAACACGGACCAAGGAGUCUAACGUCUAUGCGAGUGUUUGGGUGUGAAACCCAUACGCGUAAUGAAAGUGAACGUAGGUUGGGGCCUGUCAAAGG